GCUUCCUUAGCUCAGCUGGAUAGAGCAACUGCCUUCUAAGCGGGGGCCCCGGGUUGAAUCCUGCAGGGAAACG
rnacentral:tRNA from 1 species